GAUGAACGCUGGCGGCGUGCCUAAUACAUGCAAGUCGAGCGAACAGACGAGGAGCUUGCUCCUCUGACGUUAGCGGCGGACGGGUGAGUAACACGUGGAUAACCUACCUAUAAGACUGGGAUAACUUCAGGAAACCGGAGCUAAUACCGGAUAAUAUAUUGAACCGCAUGGUUCAAUAGUGAAAGACGGUUUUGCUGUCACUUAUAGAUGGAUCCGCGCCGCAUUAGCUAGUUGGUAAGGUAACGGCUUACCAAGGCGACGAUGCGUAGCCGACCUGAGAGGGUGAUCGGCCACACUGGAACUGAGACACGGUCCAGACUCCUACGGGAGGCAGCAGUAGGGAAUCUUCCGCAAUGGGCGAAGGCCUGACGGAGCAACGCCGCGUGAGUGAUGAAGGUCUUCGGAUCGUAAAACUCUGUUAUUAGGGAAGAACAAAUGUGUAAGUAACUAUGCACGUCUUGACGGUACCUAAUCAGAAAGCCACGGCUAACUACGUG
rnacentral:rRNA from 1 species